rnacentral:tRNA from 1 species
ACUAAUAUGGCAGAUAAGUGCAAUGGAUUUAGAAUCUUUGGAAUGUAGAAUAUUAUUCUAUAAUUAGUA